UACGUAGGGUGCAAGCGUUGUCCGGAAUUAUUGGGCGUAAAGAGCUCGUAGGCGGUUUGAUAAGUCAUCUGUGAAAUCUCUGGGCUCAACCCAGAGUCUGCAGGCGAAACUGUCGGGCUUGAGUAUGGGAGAGGUGAGUGGAAUUUCCGGUGUAGCGGUGAAAUGCGUAGAUAUCGGAAGGAACACCUGUGGCGAAAGCGGCUCACUGGACCAUUACUGACGCUGAUGCACGAAAGCUAGGGGAGCAAACAGG
rnacentral:rRNA from 1 species